rnacentral:rRNA from 1 species
GGGAUAACACUUGGAAACAGGUGCUAAUACCGUAUAACACUAUUUUCCGCAUGGAAGAAAGUUGAAAGGCGCUUUUGCGUCACUGAUGGAUGGACCCGCGGUGCAUUAGCUAGUUGGUGAGGUAACGGCUCACCAAGGCCACGAUGCAUAGCCGACCUGAGAGGGUGAUCGGCCACACUGGGACUGAGACACGGCCCAGACUCCUACGGGAGGCAGCAGUAGGGAAUCUUCGGCAAUGGACGAAAGUCUGACCGAGCAACGCCGCGUGAGUGAAGAAGGUUUUCGGAUCGUAAAACUCUGUUGUUAGAGAAGAACAAGGAUGAGAGUAAAAUGUUCAUCCCUUGACGGUAUCUAACCAGAAAGCCACGGCUAACUACGUGCCAGCAGCCGCGGUAAUACGUAGGUGGCAAGCGUUGUCCGGAUUUAUUGGGCGUAAAGCGAGCGCAGGCGGUUUCUUAAGUCUGAUGUGAAAGCCCCCGGCUCAACCGGGGAGGGUCAUUGGAAACUGGGAGACUUGAGUGCAGAAGAGGAGAGUGGAAUUCCAUGUGUAGCGGUGAAAUGCGUAGAUAUAUGGAGGAACACCAGUGGCGAAGGCGGCUCUCUGGUCUGUAACUGACGCUGAGGCUCGAAAGCGUGGGGAGCGAACAGGAUUAGAUACCCUGGUAGUCCACGCCGUAAACGAUGAGUACUAAGUGUUGGAGGGUUUCCGCCCUUCAGUGCUGCAGCA